AAUAGAUACCCAGGUAGUCCACGCCGUAAACGAUGAGUGCUAAGUGUUGGGGGUUUCCGCCCCUCAGUGCUGCAGCUAACGCGUUAAGCACUCCGCCUGGGGAGUACGGCCGCAAGGCUGAAACUCAAAGGAAUUGACGGGGGCCCGCACAAGCGGUGGAGCAUGUGAUUUAAUUCGAAGCAACGCGAAGAACCUUACCAGGUCUUGACAUCCCGCUGCCCGGUAUAGAGAUAUAUCUUUCCCUUCGGGGACAGCGGUGACAGGUGGUGCAUGGUUGUCGUCAGCUCGUGUCGUGAGAUGUUGGGUUAAGUCCCGCAACGAGCGCAACCCUUGAUCUUAGUUGCCAGCAUUUAGUUGGGCACUCUAAGGUGACUGCCGGUGACAAACCGGAGGAAGGUGGGGAUGACGUCAAAUCAUCAUGCCCCUUAUGACCUGGGCUACACACGUGCUACAAUGGAUGGUACAAAGGGCUGCAAGACCGCGAGGUUUAGCCAAUCCCAUAAAACCAUUCUCAGUUCGGAUUGCAGG
rnacentral:rRNA from 1 species